rnacentral:tRNA from 1 species
GGAGAGAUGUCCGAGUGGCUUAAGGAGCACGAUUGGAAAUCGUGUGUGGGGCAACCCACCGGGGGUUCGAAUCCCCCUCUCUCCGCCA